CCUACGGGAGGCAGCAGUGGGGAAUAUUGGUCAAUGGGCGCAAGCCUGACCCAGCAACGCCGCGUGAAGGAAGAAGGCUCUCGGGUUGUAAACUUCUUUUCUCAGGGACGAAGCAAGUGACGGUACCUGCGGAAUAAGCCACGGCUAACUACGUGCCAGCAGCCGCGGUGAUACGUAGGUGGCAAGCGUUAUACGGAUUUACUGGGUUUAAAGGGCGUGUAGGCGGGACGGCAAGUCAGAUGUGAAAACGACGGGCUCAACCUGUGGCCUGCAUUUGACACUGUAGUUCUUGAGUACUGGAGAGGCAGACGGAAUUCGUAGUGUAGCGGUGAAAUGCGUAGAUAUUAGGAGGAACACCAGUGGCGAAGGCGGUCUGCUGGACAGCAACUGACGCUGAGGCGCGAAAGCGUGGGGAGCAAACAGGAUUAGAUACCCUUGUAGUC
rnacentral:rRNA from 1 species